AGAGUUUGAUCAUGGCUCAGAACGUACGCUGGCGGCACGCCUAACACAUGCAAGUCGAACGAAGUAGCAAUACUUAGUGGCAGACGGGUGAGUAACAUGUGGGUAUCUGCCCUUUGGCCUGGAAUAACACGAGGAAACUUGUGCUAAUACCGGAUAAGUCUUUACGGAGAAAGCUUUAUGCACCAUUGGAUGAGCCCGCACUUGAUUAGUUUGUUGGUGGGGUAAUGGCCUACCAAGACUGUGAUCAAUAGCUGAUUUGAGAGGAUGAUCAGCCACAUUGGGACUGAGACACGGCCCAAACUCCUACGGGAGGCAGCAGUGGGGAAUCUUGCACAAUGGAGGAAACUCUGAUGCAGCGAUGCCGCGUGAGUGAAGAAGGCCUUUGGGUUGUAAAGCUCUUUCGUCGGGGAAGAAAAUGACUGUACCCGAAUAAGAAGGUCCGGCUAACUUCGUGCCAGCAGCCGCGGUAAUACGAAGGGACCUAGCGUAGUUCGGAAUUACUGGGCUUAAAGAGUUCGUAGGUGGUUGAAAAAGUUAGUGGUGAAAUCCCAGAGCUUAACUCUGGAACUGCCAUUAAAACUUUUCAGCUAGAGUAUGAUAGAGGAAAGCAGAAUUUCUAGUGUAGAGGUGAAAUUCGUAGAUAUUAGAAAGAAUACCAAUUGCGAAGGCAGCUUUCUGGAUCAUUACUGACACUGAGGAACGAAAGCAUGGGUAGCGAAGAGGAUUAGAUACCCUCGUAGUCCAUGCCGUAAACGAUGUGUGUUAGACGUUGGAAAUUUAUUUUCAGUGUCGCAGCGAAAGCGAUAAACACACCGCCUGGGGAGUACGACCGCAAGGUUAAAACUCAAAUGAAUUGACGGGGACCCGCACAAGUAGUGGAGCAUGUGGUUUAAUUCGAAGAUACGCGCAGAACCUUACCAACACUUGACAUGUUCGUCGCGACUCUAAGAGAUUAGAGUUUUCGGUUCGGCCGGACGAAACACAGGUGCUGCAUGGCUGUCGUCAGCUCGUGUCGUGAGAUGUUGGGUUAAGUCCCGCAACGAGCGCAACCCUCACUUUUAGUUGCCAUCAUUAAGUUGGGCACUCUGAAAGAACUGCCAGUGAUAAGCUGGAGGAAGGUGGGGAUGACGUCAAGUCCUCAUGGCCCUUACGUGUUGGGCUACACACGUGCUACAAUGGUAUCUACAACAGGAAGCAAGACUGCGAGGUCAAGCAAAUCCUUAAAAGAUACCUCAGUUCGGAUUGCACUCUGCAACUCGAGUGCAUGAAGCUGGAAUUACUAGUAAUCGUGGAUCAGCGUGCCACGGUGAAUGCGUUCCCGGGUCUUGUACACACCGCCCGUCACACCAUGGGAGUUGGUUCUACCUUAAGGCAAGGUUUCAAACCCUUGACCACGGUAUAGUCAGCGACUGGGGUGAAGUCGUAACAAGGUAACCGUA
rnacentral:rRNA from 1 species